AUCGCCUGAGAACGGCGAUCUGCUAAACACAUCCGCGCGCAGGUCCGGAAUUGCACCCGGGCCCGUUCCUUCGGGAAUGUCCCUGCGCG
rfam:Marine metagenome 1092351122966, whole genome shotgun sequence.